UCUGCCCCUCCCCUGCUCGCUCUCUUUCUCUCAAAAGGAACUGAAUUUUAAAAAGUUAAAACAAAAAGAAGAAGAGAGUCCUUUGUACAGAACAGCGCCACUGGGGCUGGCUUCAGCAGCCCUGCCUGAGACUGGGCCACACGGAAGCAAGAAGACCCCAGGGAGAAAGAGAAGCCAGGCUGACCCGGGGACCAGCAGGAGAGGUGACUGAAUGGUGUCAGAUGGGAGAGAGACCCCCACUGAGCCAGGGAGAUCAGGAGCAGCAGAAAGGCAGACAUCAAAGACUGAAGUGCAAAGCUGGCACCCAGCGAGCUGGGCAAGGACCUUCUGAGAGCUUUUCAGCAACUGGCUGUUACAGCUGUGGUGGCGGGUGACCCCACGUGCCUCCCCCGGCAACACGUGCUCAAUGAACACCAGGGAACCCGGUAACCCCAGACAGCUUGUGACACUCUUAGACACAGGGAAGGAAAGGGUCCCAGAAACCGUCUUCAGCCCUGGGGGGCCAAAGGUCAAAGGGCAGGCAGCCCUCAGCAGAGCCAAUCCUGGGUUUGCUGGGGAGGUCACAGCAUUAGCGAAACCCUGCUCAAAGGAGACACUGCCCCUGAUUCAGUCAGCAGAUCACGAGCCCAGUAGGGGCCGAACCAGGGCCAGGACCAGACCGAACUGACUCAGCUCUGAAGAAGAAAAGCAAUUUCCACAGAAUAGGAAAGCCCUGGGCUCACCUCAAAGCCAAGAAGUUCUGCCUGCACGCAAGGAGCCUCGCCACGGAGUGUGCACAGCCAUCGGUCAGUUUGUUGUUGAAGAGACUGGAACGUUCCAAAGGAGAGGAGACAUGGAGACCUAGCACAGCAGUCAGGGACCACCCCAAGCCCAGGGUAGCCCGUUCCCGCGACCCAGGGGUCACCUGCACCCUCCAAAUAUGCCAACACCCUCGCCGCAGCUCACGGCUGCUGCCCAAACGGCACGACCCGGAGCGUGGCCGGGGACACGAUGUCCACCACUCGAGCCCGACUUACGCCAACUUCUGCAGCUGCUCACAGUGAAGAGCAUGUUCGACGAGCUUGCAGAUGCCUCGGUCUGAGAUAUUGUUAUCUCGCAAGCUAAGAAAAAAAGACAAAUAGAUUUGGAAAAUGGAACUGAUAAAAGAGAAAUAAACAAGACCCCAAAAGAGA